CUCUGACCUCUGAGCUAUCACAGACGGUGAAGAACUCCUCGCGAGAGGUGAGGUUGAAGCUGCCUCCGCCAUCUUAGAGAUGGGAGACGGGUGAUGGCUGUGGUUCUUCCGCUAAUGCAAACAACAAAACGAGCAAAGUAGUCACUCUGGAGUGUGGCUAUCAUCCCUGUAACGGUUCACGAAAAGCUAGAGAAGAAGCAAGAGUCUCAAAGUCGAGCGCAGCGACACUGAAAGCCCCUUUACCUGCCUUCUAGGGCGGCAGAAGUGAAGUGACGGAGACACACAAGAAUGGUGCAGUCCUGUUCCGCCUACGGCUGCAAGAACCGAUAUGAUAAGGAUAAACCUGUUUCUUUCCACAAGUGAGUAAACCUCGCGCCUAGCAGGGCGGCCUCCGCUAUCCUGAGAGCGCGCGGCCAGCCGGGGCGGGGAGAACCAGGCGCGUGUCCGCGCGGCCCGUGACGCGGGGGGCGGGACCUCGGGCGGGCGGGGGCGGGGCCUCGGGCUGGCGGCCGGAUCGGGUUCCUCCGGGUCGGGUCUCGCCGGCCUCCCUGGGCCUCUGCGGCCGCGGGUGUUCCCUAGGGCCGGUCGCUCGACCCUCUGGACUUCUUAGUAAUUCCUUACGGGUCAAUCUGAAAUAGAAACACAGGCCAUAGACGGUAGAAGACGCUGUUUUUGCUGUUGCUGUGGAUGCGAGGCGUGAUAAUUAACGGUUGAUGGUUGGACCCAAUUUCUGAUAGCUGGACACCUCACUCUAUCUCAGGCCGGUCCUCUAGUCUAGCUAGUUGCCUUACUCAUAAGGAUCAAUCUAGUUGACCCCAGUAAAAGGAGUCCAGCACAUUCAUCAGCUCCGUGUGACUAUUUGAGUUUGACACCAGUAAGUGAGAAGAAACAAAUUUUACCAAGAAAUAAAGAAUGCAUGGCCCAAACUUAAGAACCAGAAUGAAAAAACAAAUUGGAGAAGGAGCCAAGAUUUCCUCUUACUCGACCCAGUCUUUGUAAACAAUGGGAAGCAGCUGUCAGAAGAAAAAACUUCAAGCCCACCAAGUACAGCAGUAU